GCUGACGUUUGCUGUUUCUUUCUCCGAUCUGCCGCCGCUGGGAGUCUGGGAGAAGACGGAAGGGAGGCUUUCGCUAGAAGACAUGCAGCGACACUAGACGGACGCCUCAAUCUCCAUCCAGCGCCGCCCCCUCGGCGGGUCGCCUCCUUCCCCUUGGUGCGGACGCCUCCCUCUCCGUCCAGCAGCCCCCUUCACUCUCCCAUGGAGUGGCGCGGACGCCUCCCUGUCCAUCCAGCGCCGCCCUCUCGGCGCGGCCGCCUCCCUCCCCUUCGUGCGCCGCCUCCCUCUCUCAGUCUACCUUCCGGCGCGGCCUUUCCUCCGCGGCACCGUUCGGUCGGUUCUUGAUCUGAGCAGCAGCAUAACCGUAUGCCCCUAUGUUGCCGCGGGGAGUACAAGGACGUCUGGCGCAAGAUCCAGAUCGUGCACCACCAAUCCGAGCACCCCAACGUCGUCCGCAUUCGUAUGAGGACUCUCUCUUCGUGCACCAGCGGCGAGCCAUUCGACCGCGUCGUGGCCAAGGACCACUGCAGCGAGAGAACUAUCGCUGGAAGCCUGGGAGCCCAGACUGUAGGAUGAAGAAAUGAGAUUACAUGGACUUAGUGAAGGCACAAUUUGGUUGGUGGGACUUUGAGACAAUGAGAGCAUGAUACCAUUUUCCCGCGGGCUGCAUCCGAAGAUCACAAUGGCCCUGAACACUAGGGUGCAAUUUAUUGUGAAACUGAUCACAAUGAGACUAAACACUGAAGUGCCAUCUAUGGAAACAUGUACCCGUGUGGAAGAGCAAAACCUUCUUAUGUAAAAUUGCUAGAAAAGGGUUUGUAAUCCAGUUGAAAGCAUAGUUGUGACCUUUUUGUACAUGUAAUUUUCCUGCCCAAUUGAAGGUGGAUCUCUGAACACUGUUGCUGCUGCGUUUUGUUGUGUGGAGAACUGUCAUUUUCAUGCUAGAAAAGUAGAGAUUUGUGAACUAUUAUUUUUAUCUUGUUGUGCUUGAUGUUGUACGUGCUAUCUAUGUCAUAUGUGCAAUAAUGCUGAAAUGGUUCGAACAUUCACAACCAUUGGAA